AUUCUCAGCCUCAGCAUUGGCACCAAGGACAUACUGAGGACUCUGACCAAUCAGUCCUGGUAGCAAGACACCUGCAAUGAAGAACAUUUGCUUGGUGAGAAGUCAGCUGCCACAAACCACAAACAGCAUUGUGGGUAAGAUCCAUGGUGAGGAACUGAGAGCUCCUGCCAGAAGCCAGUGACAAAUUGAGGCUUCCUGCCAACAACCUUAGCUAGAGAUGAGACUGGAAGAUACUAUUUGCAGGAGCUGAGGAAGAGGUGAAGACAUGCAGUUAGCCUUCCUGCUUUCCUGGCUGGUGUUUUAAUUGCUGUUACAUGCAUGAAUUUACAACAGGUGUGGGCACCUGAAGAAGAUCUGCUCAAGAUCAUGCCAGAAUUAA